AUUGAACGCUGGCGGCAGGCCUAACACAUGCAAGUCGAGCGAGCGGCGGACGGGUGAGUACUGUCUGGGAAACUGCCUGUUGGCGGGGGAUAACUACUGGAAACGGUAGCUAAUACCGCAUACCAUCAGAUGUGCCCAGAUGGGAUUAGCUAGUCGGUGGGGUAACGGCUCACCUAGGCGACGAUCCCUAGCUGGUCUGAGAGGUUGACAAGCCACACUGGAACUGAGACACGGUCCAUGCUCCUACGGUAGGCAGCAGUGGGGAAUAGUGCACAAUGGGCGCAAGCCUGAUGCAGCCAUGCCGCGUGUGUGGAGGAGGCCUUGGGGGUGUAAAGCACUUUCAGCGGGGAGGCGUUACCCGCAGAAGAAGCACCGGCUAACUCCGUGCCAGCAGCCGCGGUAAUUC
rnacentral:rRNA from 1 species